CUACGGGGGGCAGCAGUGGGGAAUAUUGCACAAUGGGCGCAAGCCUGAUGCAGCCAUGCCGCGUGUGUGAAGAAGGCCUUCGGGUGGUAAAGCACUUUCAGCGGGGAGGAAGGCGUUAAGGUUAAUAACCUUGUCGAUUGACGUUACCCGCAGAAGAAGCACCGGCUAACUCCGUGCCAGCAGCCGCGGUAAUACGGAGGGUGCAAGCGUUAAUCGGAAUUACUGGGCGUAAAGCGCACGCAGGCGGUCUGUCAAGUCGGAUGUGAAAUCCCCGGGCUCAACCUGGGAACUGCAUUCGGAACUGGCAGGCUAGAGUCUUGUAGAGGGGGGUAGAAUUCCAGGUGUAGCGGUGAAAUGCGUAGAGAUCUGGAGGAAUACCGGUGGCGAAGGCGGCCCCCUGGACAAAGACUGACGCUCAGGUGCGAAAGCGUGGGGAGCAAACAGGAUUAGAUACCCCAGUAGUC
rnacentral:rRNA from 1 species